GGUCGUAUAGCUCAGUCGGCAGAGUACAGUGCUAAUAUACGCUGCGGUCCAGGGUUCGAGCCCCUGUAUGACCA
rnacentral:tRNA from 1 species